AGGAGGGGAACGUAACAAUGGAUGUCUGUGUAUUUCUCUGCUUCUGUGUGCUGCUGUGACAAAUGAAGCGAGGACAGAAUCGUUGACGAAGGAAAAGAAUGAUUCCUCAGGAAAGCGAGUGAAUGAAUCAGUGGCUGUAGAGAUACCGCUGCUGAAUGACUAAGUUCCUGAUGGAGUGAAUGAGCAGAAGAGAGGAAGAGAGGAGGAGUUCACUUUAACAACACAAGACCCGCCCACUCCUGUCAAUCACUCUGACAUCAUCAACACUUCAGCUCCAGCUCCAGCAGCAACACAUGCUUCUGCUUUUAUGAGCCUAUAGACUCCGUCCAGGGAAAGUCAGAGAUAAAUCUGUGUGCUGAGCGGUUAAACUUGCAUGCAAGAAGCUUCAUACCUGUUACUCUGUUUAGCAUAGUAUUAGUCUGACUCUCACAGAUUUGAUUUUGUGUGAUUGUAGACAGUGAGUGUCAUACAUGCUUUUUAUAAGACGUUUUACCACAGCAGUAUUUCUUUAACCACUGCAUGUGCUGUUUUUAUAUAAUUAACUCCAGUAUCAGAUUAAUGUCCAGCAUUGAUUAGUGUCGCUAAAGCUGAGAUCACAUGACCUUCUUCUUCUUGUGUAUAGUGCCUUUGUAUUCAUGCUGAAGCACUUGCAACUAGCCUUCUUGCACUUGCAGCAAAAAAA